UGCUCUCUCUCUCUCAAAAAUAAACAUUAAAAAAAAAAAACCCCAGUGCAACUCUUUCUGCCCAUGGAUCCUGUCCCUCUACUAUAAUAAAAUCACCUGUUUGCACCAAAAAUGUCUCAAGAAUUCUCUCUUGGCCAUACGCUCUGGAAC